rnacentral:rRNA from 1 species
AUACAGAGACCUCGAGCGUUAUCCGGAUUUACUGGGCGUAAAGGGUCCGCAGGUGGUUUUGUAAGUCUUCGGUUAAAUUCUUGAGCUCAACUCGAGAACCGCCGAGGAAACUAUAAGACUAGAGACUGGGAGAGGCAAGCGGAAUUGCCGGUGUAGUAGUAAAAUGCGUUAAUAUCGGCAAGAACACCAAAUGCGAAGGCAGCUUGCUAGAACAGUUCUGACACUCAGGGACGAAAGCGUGGGGAGCGAUACGGAUUAGAUACCCGUGUAGUCCACGCCCUAAACGAUGGGUACUGGGCAUUGGGAGUAUCGACCCUCUCAGUGCCGUAUAUCAAAGCUAACGCGUUAAGUACCCCGCCUGGGGAGUACGGCCGCAAGGCUAAA